CUGGGAUGAAAGGAUUCGAACCUUUGAAUGGCGGACUCAAAUUCCGACGCCUUACCGCUUGGCCACACCCCA
rnacentral:tRNA from 1 species